UACGGGGCGCAGCAGGCGCGAAACCUCCGCAAUGGGCGAAAGCCCGACGGGGUCAGUCCGAGUGGCUCCCGCUAAGGGAGUCUUUUGCCAGCUGUAAAAAGGCUGGCGAAUAAGGGGUGGGCAAGUCUGGUGUCAGCCGCCGCGGUAAUACCAGCACCCCGAGUGGUCGGGACGAUUAUUGGGCCUAAAGCAUCCGUAGCCGGUGUAGCAAGUCCUCCGUUAAAUCCACUUGCUCAACAAGUGGGCUGCGGAGGAUACUGCUACACUAGGGGGCGGGAGAGGCGAGGGGUAUUCCACGGGUAGGGGUAAAAUCCUCUGAUCCGUGGAGGACCACCAGUGGCGAAGGCGCCUCGCCAGAACGCGCCCGACGGUGAGGGAUGAAAGCUGGGGGAGCAAACCGGAUUAGAUACCCGGGUAGUCCCAGCCGUAAACGAUGUAGGCUCGGUGAUGGGCUGGCUCCGAGCCAGCCCAGUGCCGCAGGGAAGCCGUUAAGCCUACCGCCUGGGGAGUACGGCCGCAAGGCUGAAACUUAAAGGAAUUGGCGGGGGAGCACCACAAGGGGUGAAGCCUGCGGUUCAAUUGGAUUCAACGCCGGAA
rnacentral:rRNA from 1 species